rfam:Pan troglodytes isolate Yerkes chimp pedigree #C0471 (Clint) chromosome 1, whole genome shotgun sequence.
GCCCAGCUAGCUCAGUCGGUAGAGCAUGAGACUCUUAAUCUCAGGGUCAUGGGUUUGAGCCCCACGUUUGGUG